AGAACGAACGCUGGCGGCAGGCUUAACACAUGCAAGUCGAGCGCUCGCAGCAAUGCGGGAGCGGCAGACGGGUGAGUAACGCGUGGGAACAUACCCUUCGGUUCGGAAUAGCUCAGGGAAAACUUGAAUUAAUACCGGAUACGGCCAGAAGUGAAAAUUUCUGGCGAAAGAUUUAUCGCCGAAGGAUUGGCCCGCGUUCGAUUAGCUAGUUGGUGAGGUAACGGCUCACCAAGGCGACGAUCGAUAGCUGGUCUGAGAGGAUGAUCAGCCACAUUGGGACUGAGACACGGCCCAAACUCCUACGGGAGGCAGCAGUGGGGAAUAUUGGACAAUGGGCGCAAGCCUGAUCCAGCCAUGCCGCGUGAGUGAUGACGGCCUUAGGGUUGUAAAGCUCUUUCGCUAGGGACGAUAAGUGACGGUACCUAGACAAGAAGCCCCGGCUAACUUCGCGCCAGCAGCCGCGGUAA
rnacentral:rRNA from 1 species